rnacentral:rRNA from 1 species
GAAUCUGGCUUCAGGUCGGGGAUAACUACUGGAAACGGUGGCUAAUACCGGAUGUGCCGAAAGGUGAAAGGCUAGCUGCCUGAAGAUGAGCUCGCGUCUGAUUAGCUAGUUGGUGUGGUAAGAGCGCACCAAGGCGACGAUCAGUAGCUGGUCUGAGAGGACGAUCAGCCACACUGGGACUGAGACACGGCCCAGACUCCUACGGGAGGCAGCAGUGAGGAAUUUUCUGCAAUGGGCGAAAGCCUGACAGAGCAAUACCGCGUGAGGGAAGAAGGCUUACUGAGUUGUAAACCUCGGUGCCUUAAGGAAGAAGAUCUGACGGUACUUAAGGUGGAAAGCAUCGGCUAACCCCGUGCCAGCAGCCGCGGUAAGACGGGGGAUGCAAGUGUUAUCCGGAAUCACUGGGCGUAAAGCGUCUGCAGGUGGUUUCCUAAGUCCACUGUUAAACCUUGAGGCUCAACCUCAAAUCUGCAGUGGAAACUAGGGAACUUGAGGAUAGUAGGGGUAGAGGGAAUUUCCAGUGGAGCGGUGAAAUGCGUAGAUAUUGGAAAGAACACCGAUGGCGAAGGCACUCUACUGGGCUAUGACUGACACUCAGAGACGAAAGCUAGGGGAGCA